CGAGAACCCCGCAAGGGGGGAAAGUGGCGAAAGGGGCAGUAAUGCAUGGGUAAUCUACCCCGGGGACGUGGAUAGCCAUCCUAACGGGUGGGUAAUACACGGCAAUUCGGCGCGGGGGCAUCCUCGUGCCGGGAAAUGAAUUUCGCCUCGGGAGGAACUCAUGUCGUAUUAGCUUGUUGGCGGGGUAACGGCCCACCAAGGCAAAGAUGCGUAGCGGGUGUGAGAGCACGACCCGCGCCACUGGCACUGAGACACUGGCCAGACACCUACGGGUGGCUGCAGUCGAGGAUCUUCGGCAAUGAGCGCAAGCUUGACCGAGCGACGCCGCGUGUGCGACGAAGGCCUUCGGGUUGUAAAGCACUGUCGAGGGGGAGGAAAGCCCGAAAGGGUCUGACCUAUCCCUGGAGGAAGCACGGGCUAAGUUCGUGCCAGCAGCCGCGGUAAGACGAACCGUGCGAACGUUGUUCGGAAUCACUGGGCAUAAAGGGCGCGUAGGCGGGCCGUAAAGUCCGAGGUGAAAUCCCCCAGCUCAACUGGGGAACUGCCUCGGAUACUGACGGCCUCGAGUAAGGUAGGGGCAUGCGGAACUGAUGGUGGAGCGGUGAAAUGUGUUGAUAUCAUCAGGAACUCCGGUGGCGAAAGCGGCAUGCUGGACCUUCACUGACGCUGAGGCGCGAAAGCCAGGGGAGCAAACGGGAUUAGAUACCCCGGUAGUCCUGGCCCUAAACGAUGAGUACUAGGUAGUAGUCUUGACAUGGGGUUACUGCCGGAGCAAAUGUGCUAAGUACUCCGCCUGGGGAGUAUGGUCGCAAGGCCGAAACUCAAAGGAAUUGACGGGGGCUCACACAAGCGGUGGAGCAUGUGGCUUAAUUCGAGGCUACGCGAAGAGCCUUAUCCUGGAU
rnacentral:rRNA from 1 species